rnacentral:rRNA from 1 species
GGGUUGUGAGGUUAAGCGACUAAGCGUACACGGUGGAUGCCCUGGCAGUCAGAGGCGAUGAAGGACGUGCUAAUCUGCGAUAAGCGUCGGUAAGGUGAUAUGAACCGUUAUAACCGGCGAUUUCCGAAUGGGGAAACCCAGUGUGUUUCGAUACACUAUCAUUAACUGAAUCCAUAGGUUAAUGAGGCGAACCGGGGGAACUGAAACAUCUAAGUACCCCGAGGAAAAGAAAUCAACCGAGAUUCCCCCAGUAGCGGCGAGCGAACGGGGAGCAGCCCAGAGCCUGAAUCAGUGUGUGUGUUAGUGGAAGCGUCUGGAAAGGCGCGCGAUACAGGGUGACAGCCCCGUACACAAAAAUGCACAUGCUGUGAGCUCGAUGAGUAGGGCGGGACACGUGGUAUCCUGUCUGAAUAUGGGGGGACCAUCCUCCAAGGCUAAAUACUCCUGACUGACCGAUAGUGAACCAGUACCGUGAGGGAAAGGCGAAAAGAACCCCGGCGAGGGGAGUGAAAAAGAACCUGAAACCGUGUACGUACAAGCAGUGGGAGCACGCUUAGGCGUGUGACUGCGUACCUUUUGUAUAAUGGGUCAGCGACUUAUAUUCUGUAGCAAGGUUAACCGAAUAGGGGAGCCGAAGGGAAACCGAGUCUUAACUGGGCGUUAAGUUGCAGGGUAUAGACCCGAAACCCGGUGAUCUAGCCAUGGGCAGGUUGAAGGUUGGGUAACACUAACUGGAGGACCGAACCGACUAAUGUUGAAAAAUUAGCGGAUGACUUGUGGCUGGGGGUGAAAGGCCAAUCAAACCGGGAGAUAGCUGGUUCUCCCCGAAAGCUAUUUAGGUAGCGCCUCGUGAAUUCAUCUCCGGGGGUAGAGCACUGUUUCGGCAAGGGGGUCAUCCCGACUUACCAACCCGAUGCAAACUGCGAAUACCGGAGAAUGUUAUCACGGGAGACACACGGCGGGUGCUAACGUCCGUCGUGAAGAGGGAAACAACCCAGACCGCCAGCUAAGGUCCCAAAGUCAUGGUUAAGUGGGAAACGAUGUGGGAAGGCCCAGACAGCCAGGAUGUUGGCUUAGAAGCAGCCAUCAUUUAAAGAAAGCGUAAUAGCUCACUGGUCGAGUCGGCCUGCGCGGAAGAUGUAACGGGGCUAAACCAUGCACCGAAGCUGCGGCAGCGACACUAUGUGUUGUUGGGUAGGGGAGCGUUCUGUAAGCCUGUGAAGGUGUGCUGUGAGGCAUGCUGGAGGUAUCAGAAGUGCGAAUGCUGACAUAAGUAACGAUAAAGCGGGUGAAAAGCCCGCUCGCCGGAAGACCAAGGGUUCCUGUCCAACGUUAAUCGGGGCAGGGUGAGUCGACCCCUAAGGCGAGGCCGAAAGGCGUAGUCGAUGGGAAACAGGUUAAUAUUCCUGUACUUGGUGUUACUGCGAAGGGGGGACGGAGAAGGCUAUGUUGGCCGGGCGACGGUUGUCCCGGUUUAAGCGUGUAGGCUGGUUUUCCAGGCAAAUCCGGAAAAUCAAGGCUGAGGCGUGAUGACGAGGCACUACGGUGCUGAAGCAACAAAUGCCCUGCUUCCAGGAAAAGCCUCUAAGCAUCAGGUAACAUCAAAUCGUACCCCAAACCGACACAGGUGGUCAGGUAGAGAAUACCAAGGCGCUUGAGAGAACUCGGGUGAAGGAACUAGGCAAAAUGGUGCCGUAACUUCGGGAGAAGGCACGCUGAUAUGUAGGUGAAGUCCCUCGCGGAUGGAGCUGAAAUCAGUCGAAGAUACCAGCUGGCUGCAACUGUUUAUUAAAAACACAGCACUGUGCAAACACGAAAGUGGACGUAUACGGUGUGACGCCUGCCCGGUGCCGGAAGGUUAAUUGAUGGGGUUAGCCGCAAGGCGAAGCUCUUGAUCGAAGCCCCGGUAAACGGCGGCCGUAACUAUAACGGUCCUAAGGUAGCGAAAUUCCUUGUCGGGUAAGUUCCGACCUGCACGAAUGGCGUAAUGAUGGCCAGGCUGUCUCCACCCGAGACUCAGUGAAAUUGAACUCGCUGUGAAGAUGCAGUGUACCCGCGGCAAGACGGAAAGACCCCGUGAACCUUUACUAUAGCUUGACACUGAACAUUGAGCCUUGAUGUGUAGGAUAGGUGGGAGGCUUUGAAGUGUGGACGCCAGUCUGCAUGGAGCCGACCUUGAAAUACCACCCUUUAAUGUUUGAUGUUCUAACGUUGACCCGUAAUCCGGGUUGCGGACAGUGUCUGGUGGGUAGUUUGACUGGGGCGGUCUCCUCCUAAAGAGUAACGGAGGAGCACGAAGGUUGGCUAAUCCUGGUCGGACAUCAGGAGGUUAGUGCAAUGGCAUAAGCCAGCUUGACUGCGAGCGUGACGGCGCGAGCAGGUGCGAAAGCAGGUCAUAGUGAUCCGGUGGUUCUGAAUGGAAGGGCCAUCGCUCAACGGAUAAAAGGUACUCCGGGGAUAACAGGCUGAUACCGCCCAAGAGUUCAUAUCGACGGCGGUGUUUGGCACCUCGAUGUCGGCUCAUCACAUCCUGGGGCUGAAGUAGGUCCCAAGGGUAUGGCUGUUCGCCAUUUAAAGUGGUACGCGAGCUGGGUUUAGAACGUCGUGAGACAGUUCGGUCCCUAUCUGCCGUGGGCGCUGGAGAACUGAGGGGGGCUGCUCCUAGUACGAGAGGACCGGAGUGGACGCAUCACUGGUGUUCGGGUUGUCAUGCCAAUGGCACUGCCCGGUAGCUAAAUGCGGAAGAGAUAAGUGCUGAAAGCAUCUAAGCACGAAACUUGCCCCGAGAUGAGUUCUCCCUGACCCUUUAAGGGUCCUGAAGGAACGUUGAAGACGACGACGUUGAUAGGCCGGGUGUGUAAGCGCAGCGAUGCGUUGAGCUAACCGGUACUAAUGAACCGUGAGGCUUAACCUUACAACGCCGAAGCUGUU